UCCCCUCCAUCAUCAUCCUCUGUGAGACUCUGCAACCCCCCAUCCAAAUCACUAUCAUCUCAGCCUGUUAAAUCCAUCGAUUGUUCUCUCUAGCUAUCUUUUAUCCAGCAGUUUAAAUCCAUAAUUCAAAUGGAAUGACCAGAAGAUUUGCUCUUAAGAUGGAAUGACCAAAAGAUCCGCUCUCCCUCUUAAAUCGGUCGCUAUCACCCAACAAGUAGGUCCUGCCAUCCAGCUCAUCAUCCAGCAAGUGGAUUUCAAACAUGUGAUUCUUUUUUUUCUUUUAAAUGUAAAAUAUAUCAGCUAUUGGUAGGAUCAGAUGGCAGACAGGACUGGC
rnacentral:lncRNA from 1 species